UACAGAGGUCUCAACCGUUGUUCGGAUUCAUUAGGCGUAAAGGGUGCGUAGGCGGUCGCGCAAGUCGGAUGCGAAAUCUCAGGGCUCAACCCUGAAACUGCAUUCGAUACUGCGUGGCUAGAGUGCUGGAGAGGAGACUGGAAUUUACGGUGUAGCAGUGAAAUGCGUAGAUAUCGUAAGGAAGACCAGUGGCGAAGGCGAGUCUCUGGACAGCAACUGACGCUGAGGCACGAAGGCCAGGGGAGCAAACGGG
rnacentral:rRNA from 1 species